rnacentral:rRNA from 1 species
AGGGUUCGAUUCUGGCUCAGGAUGAACGCUGGCGGCGUGCUUAACACAUGCAAGUCGAACGGGAUCCAUCAGGCUUUGCUUGGUGGUGAGAGUGGCGAACGGGUGAGUAAUGCGUGACCGACCUGCCCCAUACACCGGAAUAGCUCCUGGAAACGGGUGGUAAUGCCGGAUGCUCCGACUCCUCGCAUGGGGUGUCGGGAAAGAUUCAUCGGUAUGGGAUGGGGUCGCGUCCUAUCAGGUAGUCGGCGGGGUAACGGCCCACCGAGCCUACGACGGGUAGCCGGCCUGAGAGGGCGACCGGCCACAUUGGGACUGAGAUACGGCCCAGACUCCUACGGGAGGCAGCAGUGGGGAAUAUUGCACAAUGGGCGCAAGCCUGAUGCAGCGACGCCGCGUGCGGGAUGACGGCCUUCGGGUUGUAAACCGCUUUUGAUCGGGAGCAAGCCUUCGGGUGAGUGUACCUUUCGAAUAAGCACCGGCUAACUACGUGCCAGCAGCCGCGGUAAUACGUAGGGUGCAAGCGUUAUCCGGAAUUAUUGGGCGUAAAGGGCUCGUAGGCGGUUCGUCGCGUCCGGUGUGAAAGUCCAUCGCUUAACGGUGGAUCUGCGCCGGGUACGGGCGGGCUGGAGUGCGGUAGGGGAGACUGGAAUUCCCGGUGUAACGGUGGAAUGUGUAGAUAUCGGGAAGAACACCAAUGGCGAAGGCAGGUCUCUGGGCCGUUACUGACGCUGAGGAGCGAAAGCGUGGGGAGCGAACAGGAUUAGAUACCCUGGUAGUCCACGCCGUAAACG